rnacentral:lncRNA from 1 species
GUUCAGAUAAGUACUGGAGGCCAGGGCAGCAGGGAUGCUAAUGCCAUUUCACGGGGUAGACACCAGUGCAUUCGUUUGGUGAGUUACCAAACUCCCACAUUUUCUGUUUACAGGGCCGGGUACCGAGACGAAACAGCAGGCCUAUCUAUUUAGAACAUUUCCGUAAACCAGACCACAUCAGAAGAGCCAGGUGACGAUGCUGCUGGCUGCAGAAGGUGCAGAAGGUACCAGGUUUGAAAACAGCAUGUUUUUCUACCGUAUAGAUUGAAUGCUGAGGAGUACUGAAUUGGUGGCCGGAGUCACUGGGUUUCUAGUGCAAAUAACUCAAUGUUCUAAUCGUAAAUCAAAGUUCCAGGAUCUGCUUUUUCUUUCGAGGGGCACUGUACAAAAAAGGAAGUGUGUGUGUGUGUGUGUGUGUGUGUGUGUGUUGCGCGCACGCGCGUGUAGGGAGAUCAGAACCAAACGCUCCCGCGGAGGAGUGGAUGGGAAGGAACCGCGAGGACUCGGAGGCCAAGUCUUCAGAAUAAAGUUCUCGUCGGCCCUGAGAUUCCAACGUCUGUCAUCGAGGCCUGAACCCCCAAAAUUGCACCUGGCGCUCCUCAUCUCAGCGAGUACGAAGGACUCUCAAGAGGGAGUCAGUGCGGGCGGCUGUUGCCUCCUUGGAGGGCGGAAGCAGCGGAACGCGGUCUCCCAGUCUCUCCCCCGGCUCUGCGGCCAGCGCCUGAGGCCUGGCGGCUGCAGGGCUAACCCUCCGUUCUUCCCUUCCUUCCCCGAUGAGCUCACUUCCUCCCGGCGCAGCUGCCUUCCGUCGGCUGGAGCCGAAUCCCGGCCCCGCGGCUGUGGCGGGGCGCGUUGGGGGCCUUUUCUGUGCUCCUCUCCCGCCUGGAGAGCUUCUUGGAGAGACGGUCGGGAACUGAAAAGCAGUCCUUACUAAGGAAAGGGAAAGUGGAAAUCUCUGAAAUGAAAGGAAAUGGCUUCUUUCGUGGCCAAAUUAAGAGCGCGGACUGGAAGGCAUGGGAGGCCAAGGAGAUUCUUCUAGAUGCCCCCCUGGACUCAGGCCCAGCGUCUGGGUCUCUUUCCCUUCCUCCUCCCCCCUUUCUCCACCGCCCCAUUUCCCCUUGCUUUUCACUUUUAUUCACUUGUGUUUUAAAAAUUCAUAUACGGGCACAUUUAAAAAGCAAUUUCGCAUUUUAAAGUCGGCAGCAGCAGAGGGAGAAUUACAAAUAGGAUUGGAUUUAAUUAGCUGGUAAUGCUCCUCUCAUGCCCUAUAAUUAAACAGAAAUUCU